rnacentral:lncRNA from 1 species
UGGCUUUGCAGGCUCUGGUUGAAAAAAAGUAGCGCGUUUGGGUAGUGGCUGGUUACAGUACUGUGAGACUCAGGCUCGACCUCAUGCUUUGUUUUCUUUCCUCUGUUCACCUAAACGCAGAUUCCCGGUCGGAAUAUUAUCGCUUUUUUACGAGAAAAAUGGCAUAAAAAUGGAUUUUAAACAGCGGUUGACAUGCUUCGAAGUACGGUACUGGAAUAUGUAGACAUUUUUUGUCACGAAUUGCGCCAUGCUCGUGACCCUUAUUUACACUUCGGAUAGAGUCUUGAACGCACGAACAAAACGUCGCUAUUUGGAUAUAACGAUGGAUUAUUUUGGACCAAACCAACAUUUGUUAUUGAAGUAGCAGUCCUGGGAGUGCAUUCUGACGAAGAACACCAAAGGUAUACAGACGAGGAGGCAUACAAAGGGAAACAACCUCUGAUUGCGCUGGUGCCGACUGAGAGCUGAAUACCACACACACUCUCACAAACAGACACACACCUGGGACUCUAGAGCAGAGGCGUAAACAACAGGAGGAGAGAGGGAAGAAGAAAGAGGGGACAAAGAGAGAGGGGAAGAAAAGAAG